rnacentral:rRNA from 1 species
UACAGAGGGUGCGAGCGUUGUUCGGAAUUACUGGGCGUAAAGCGCGCGCAGGCGGCCUUUUAAGUCUGACGGUGAAAUGCCGGGGCUCAACCCCGUGCCCGCCGGAGAUACUGGGAGGCUGGAGACGAGUAGAGGCAAGCGGAAUUCCGGGUGUAGCGGUGAAAUGCGCAGAUAUCAGGAGGAACACCGGUGGCGAAGGCGGGUCUCUGGGCCGAUACUGACGCUGAGGAGCGAAAGCGUGGGGAGCGAACAGG